UACGAAGGGGGCUAGCGUUGCUCGGAAUCACUGGGCGUAAAGGGUGCGUAGGCGGGUCUUUAAGUCAGGGGUGAAAUCCUGGAGCUCAACUCCAGAACUGCCUUUGAUACUGAAGAUCUUGAGUUCGGGAGAGGUGAGUGGAACUGCGAGUGUAGAGGUGAAAUUCGUAGAUAUUUGCAAGAACACCAGUGGCGAAGGCGGCUCACUGGCCCGAUACUGACGCUGAGGCACGAAAGCGUGGGGAGCAAACGGG
rnacentral:rRNA from 1 species